rnacentral:misc_RNA from 1 species
GCUUUUCUUGAUUCUACUUCUGCAUCUUCGGAUACUUUUUCUAUACUUUCGGUAGUUCCAUGCAGAGUUGGCUCCACAGCUGAUACUACUGAGAAUCUUCGGGGGUUCCUCGUUAAUAUUUUAGUUUGUGGCUGUAAAUUGUGUAAUUCUAAAUAUAAUAUAAGUUUCGAUAUGCGGAAUUCAAAUGAUCAUUGUUAUAACAAACCUGAGAUUGUAUACUUUUGUGGCUCUGCUUCUUCUUGGCAUCCAGUUCUUUCAAGACUGAUA